rnacentral:rRNA from 1 species
UACAGAGGUCUCAAGCGUUGUUCGGAAUUAUUGGGCGUAAAGGGAGCGUAGACGGUGCGGUAAGUUCGGUGUGAAACCUCCAGGCUUAACUUGGAGCUGGCAUCGAAUACUGCCGUGCUAGAGUGUGGGAGGGGAGAGUGGAAUUCCCGGUGUAGCGGUGAAAUGCGUAGAUAUCGGGAGGAACAUCGGUGGCGAAGGCGGCUCUCUGGACCACAACUGACGCUGAGGCUCGAAAGCUAGGGGAGCAAACAGG